AUUGAACGCUGGCGGCAGGCCUUACACAUGCAAGUCGAGCGGUAACAGGGCGCUAGCUCCUGACGUGUGCCGCAGGCGGGUGUAAUGUGCCUAAAAGUGCCCCUGCUUGGGGGGUAUCUACUCGGGAGAGGGGCUCUAACCCCACACGCGCUCUGAGGGAGAGAGUGGGGGCGCAUCGCCUCGCGCGCUUUCAGCUGACCCUAGGUCGGAUUAUCUAGUUGGUGGGGUAAAGGCUUACCAAGACCACGAUCCGUAGCUGGUCUGAGAGGACGAUCAGCCACACUGGGACUGAGACACGGUCCAGACUCCUACGGGAGGCAGCAGUGGGGAAUUUUGGACAAUGGGCGAAAGCCUGAUCCAGCAAUGCCGCGUGCAGGAAGAAGGCCUUCGGAUUGUAAACUGCUUUUGGUCGGAACGAAACGCAUCUGGUUAAUACCCGGCUGUAUUGACGGUACCGAAAGAAUAAGCACCGGCUAACUACGUG
rnacentral:rRNA from 1 species